UGAGGAAUAUUGGUCAAUGGCCGGGAGGCUGAACCAGCCAAGUAGCGUGAAGGAUGACGGCCCUACGGGUUGUAAACUUCUUUUAUGCGGGAUUAACGUGAGGUACGCGUACCUUAUUGCAGGUACCGCAUGAAUAAGCAUCGGCUAACUCCGUGCCAGCAGCCGCGGUAAUACGGAGGAUGCAGGCGUUAUCCGGAUUUAUUGGGUUUAAAGGGAGCGCAGACGGCAUGUCAAGUCAGCUGUGAAAGUUCGGGGCUCAACCUUGGAAUUGCAGUUGAAACUGGCGUGCUUGAGUUCGGUCGAGGCAGGCGGAAUUCGUGGUGUAGCGGUGAAAUGCUUAGAUAUCACGAAGAACUCCGAUUGCGAAGGCAGCUUGCUGGACUGUAACUGACGCUGAUGCUCGAAAGUGUGGGUAUCAAACAGGAUUAGAUACCCUGGUAGUCCACACAGUAAACGAUGAAUACUCGCUGUUUGUGAUAUACAGUAAGCGGCCAAGCGAAAGCGUUAAGUAUUCCACCUGGGGAGUACGCCGGCAACGGUGAAACUCAAAGGAAUUGACGGGGGCCCGCACAAGCGGAGGAACAUGUGGUUUAAUUCGAUGAUACGCGAGGAACCUUACCCGGGCUUGAAUUGCAACUGAAUGAUGUGGAGACAUGUCAGCCGCAAGGCAGUUGUGAAGGUGCUGCAUGGUUGUCGUCAGCUCGUGCCGUGAGGUGUCGGCUUAAGUGCCAUAACGAGCGCAACCCUUAUCGAUAGUUACCAUCAGGUUAUGCUGGGGACUCUGUCGAGACUGCCGUCGUAAGAUGUGAGGAAGGUGGGGAUGACGUCAAAUCAGCACGGCCCUUACGUCCGGGGCUACACACGUGUUACAAUGGGGGGUACAGAAGGCAGCUACACGGCGACGUGAUGCUAAUCCCUAAAGCCUCUCUCAGUUCGGAUUGGAGUCUGCAACCCGACUCCAUGAAGCUGGAUUCGCUAGUAAUCGCGCAUCAGCCACGGCGCGGUGAAUACGUUCCC
rnacentral:rRNA from 1 species